rnacentral:rRNA from 1 species
AAUAUUGGACAAUGGGCGCAAGCCUGAUCCAGCCAUGCCGCGUGAGUGAAGAAGGCCCUCGGGUUGUAAAGCUCUUUUGUCCGGAAAGAAAAGCAUUCGGUUAAUACCCGGGUAUCCUGACGGUACCGGAAGAAUAAGCACCGGCUAACUUCGUGCCAGCAGCCGCGGUAAUACGAAGGGUGCAAGCGUUACUCGGAAUUACUGGGCGUAAAGCGUGCGUAGGUGGUUUGUUAAGUCUGAUGUGAAAGCCCUGGGCUCAACCUGGGAAUGGCACUGGAUACUGGCAAGCUAGAGUGUGGCAGAGGGUAGUGGAAUUCCUGGUGUAGCAGUGAAAUGCGUAGAGAUCAGGAGGAACAUCCGUGGCGAAGGCGACUGCCUGGGCCAACACUGACACUGAGGCACGAAAGCGUGGGGAGCAAACAGG